CCUACGGGGUGCUGCAGUGGGGGAUAUUGCACAAUGGGGGAAACCCUGAUGCAGCGACGCCGCGUGGGUGAAGAAGCGCCUCGGCGCGUAAAGCCCUGUCAGCAGGGAAGAAAAUGACGGUACCUGAAGAAGAAGCCCCGGCUAACUACGUGCCAGCAGCCGCGGUAAUACGUAGGGGGCAAGCGUUAUCCGGAUUUACUGGGUGUAAAGGGGGCGCAGACGGCGAUGCAAGCCAGGAGUGAAAGACCGGGGCCCAACCCCGGGACUGCUCUUGGAACUGCGUGGCUAGAGUGCAGGAGGGGCAGGCGGAAGUCCUGGUGUAGCGGUGAAAUGCGUAGAUAUCAGGAGGAACACCGGUGGCGAAGGCGGCCUGCUGGACUGCAACUGACGUUGAGGCCCGAAAGCGUGGGGAGCAAACAGGAUUAGAUACCCCAGUAGUC
rnacentral:rRNA from 1 species